AUGACUCUCAUCACCAUCCUCAUCUGGACGCUGGCCUGCUGCUGUUUUACAGGAUGCAGCGGUCAGGUGACUGUGACUCAGCCUGCAGUAAAGACAUCUGCUCCAGGAUCCACUGUCACUAUCGACUGUAAGACCAGCCAGGAUCCUUACAGAGAUGGUCAUGGAUAUCGGCUGUCCUGGUAUCAACAGAAAUCUGGACAGACUCCAAAGCUUCUAAUAAAAUUAGUGAGCACACGUGUAUCAGGAACUGCUCGGUUUAGUGGCAGUGGAAGCAGCUCUGACUUCACUUUGACCAUCAGUGGAGUUCAGACUGAAGAUGCAGCAGUUUAUUACUGUCAGAGUGCACACCAAAUAAACAGUGUUUGGUCGUCCACACAGUGA